UAGUUGUCCCUCCCUCUCUCCAUGAGGAAGUGAAAGUAAAAUCUGUGUUCUGUUUCAAUAUGGCGUUGUUGCUGGCGUUGUUGAAAGAAGAACCUGCGUAGCUCGUUUAUUUAUUUAAACGUUUAUUUAACUGACAAGAAAUAUUUUUUCAUCUUUAAGAGUUUCUAAAAGAGUCUUACAGUCAUCAUGUCCCUCCUUUAUAUUUACAUCCUUUUGGUCACUGCCUGUGUGGACAGUGCAGAAUCUCUGGUUACUGUAUCAGCUCCAGUGGGUUCCACAGUCCUCCUGCCAUGUAAACUGACUGAAGUCUUCACCCAAACAUCACUUAUUCAGUGGAAGAUCAACAACAAAGGUCUUGUGUUUGAGAGAAGCAGUGAUGCUACGAGUUCAGGUUCAGGAUAUGAAGGCCGUGUGGAUAUUCUUCUGGAUGAACUACAUAAAGGAAACUGUUCCCUGGUGUUGAAGAACGUCAGAAUCACUGAUGACCAUUUAUACAAAACCUUUACAGUGGAACAUGUGGACAGUACUAACCCUACAGAGGCUAAAGAAAUCGCCAGUGUUAGACUCUCAGUCGAUGUCCUUCAGUUAUCAGCUCGAGUGGGUUCCACAGCUGUCCUGCCGUGUGAAUGGAGCCAUCUGUCCAUCCAGACACCUCAUGUUGAGUGGGUUAUCGAUUCUGAGACUGUGUUUGAGCGAAAGGGUAAAGAGUCAUUUCAGGGUGAAGGAUAUGAGGGCCGUGUGGACGUUCCUGAGGACGAGCUGCUUAAAGGAAACUGUUCCCUGGUGUUGAAGAACGUCAGUGUUACUGAUGCAGGAAACUACAGCAGCUCCAUGCUAGUGAAAGACACACAGGAAUCUGUCUCGGUCCAGAAGAUUAAACUGUCAGUUGAUGAUGAGACUCGUUCUUCAUUGGAGGAUUCAGAUUCACACCAGACUGGAGGGAACAACUGGAUUAUCUGGUUAUGUGUUGGGAUUGGAAUUGUAAUCAUCAUCAUCAUCAUCAGUGUGUUUGUGGGCUACAAGUUUAAUGGUAAAACUGGUUCUUUUUAUUAUUUAAAAAAAAAAAAAAACCCUAAUGGAUUUGGUUGAAGUUCAGGUGGGUAUUUUACAGAAACAUGGCAACCCUCUCCACCUUUUUUGGGUCAGUGUAAUAUAAAGGUGCAUGUUAGGCAAGAACAGAAACUUCGAUGGAAAGUUUUUUGUUUUUUUUUCCUUUUUUUAACUUUAUACUUCUGGUCAUACUGAGUUUCUUGUAUUUAAGCACUUCACUGCUUUUUUGCUCACAGAGCAUUUUCUGAGCACAGAAUUAUCUUGAUAGGUGUCAAUUAUUUACUUCUUUUCACUUUUGAACGAUUAUUCAACAAAUCAUUAACUCUACAUACACACACAAAUGAGAGAGAGAGAGAGAGAAUAUAUAUUCAGACCAUUACACUUGUCUGAUGGAGAAAAGGAGAGGACAUUGUUCUGCUCUGAUCUCUUCAUGGAAAACAGAUCAUCUUGAACUUAAUCCCUGCAAGACUGAGCUUCUGUUCAUCCCUGGAGCUCCAUCACCAUGUCAGGAUCUUCUGAUUGAUCUGGAGAACUCUCAGACCGGACAAACCAACUACUCUUCUAACUAACCUGACCUGGUCAUGGCUUCUCCUCUAUGUAGCAGGGAUUUGUUGUUACACCAGAUUAUGAAUAUUUCUAUUAAUAUUGAAUUUUUUUGUGUGUGUUUUAUAAGGGGUUUGUUAUGUAUAGAUUGCAGCAAUGGGUACAGCAUGUAUGUUGGCUGAUGUCAUGUGUAUGAUAAAACUUUAUAGUUGAGGUGGAAUCUGGGUUCAGUUCCUUUCAGCAAUGCCCUGGGGACAGGUAUCUGACAGUUAGAUAAUUUUGUUAAAGAAUUUCCUUCAGGAUCUAGUUCUAUCUUGUCUUAUCUUUAUUUUAAUACAAAUUUUAUUUAUACAUUUUAUUACAAGUUAUUACCAGCAAAACGAUCAUCAUGUUUGGGGAUAAAUAACAUAAUGUACUGUAAUUUUGUAAUGUACUUAAAUUUUAUUACAGGCAAGUUUUUUACUAUCACUGUGUGUGUGUGUGAUCUAAGACAAGACUUACUUAACACAGGUCACAGCUCAGCAAGGUGAAAUUCUUUCACAUAUCCCAACUUGGAGAGGUUGGAGAAAGGGGCCAGAAGAACGGUCACUGAAUCUCCUCACUCACUGAAUGAAUAACUUGUGUAUUAAUAAUUGAAAGGCAAUUCAAAUUUAUUUGGAUAAUCACUUUAACAGUAGCCAUUUCCAUAAAACUUAAAAGCCCUGAUUUUUGCUCAAUGAGCAAACUACAACUACUUGAAGAGUACAAACAUGUGUUCUAACUGUGUGUGCUAUUUUUAGUUAUUUACUGAACAAAAACAAAUGUUGGUUAUAAAACUUGGUCCAAUAAAUGAAUAAAUCUUUAUUAGGAAGCAUUUGCAGUUUGUUUGAUAAACAUAAAAGUGAAGCUGAUCACCCAUGGCCUUUACAGUAACCAGAUUUGAAUAUUUUGGAGCCACUUUGGGGUGUUUUGGAGGAGCAGGUCAGGAAACCUUCACAAGCCCGAGAAAUGGCUUAAGAAACAGCAACAUUCUGAGCAUACGAGUAAGUUCCUGGGGCAUCAGGGUGUGUCUAUAACAUUAUAAAUCACUGGGUGAGGCUGGGCCACAGAUCCAGCAGUCGUGUAUGUCAGGUUCUGGGAAAGUAAACCAGUGAAUAUUUAUUUACCGUCAUACAUACUGGGCAUACCGUGCCAUCUGUCUACCUAUACUGAUAAUAAACAUUAGGAACAGAUGACACCUUAAUGCCAGAUGAUCCAGAUUAGAGAUGUUAUAAAGAGUCAUGUCCAUUGAUACUGAUCAACAUCAGAGAAAAACACUUGCCAUGGCUCUCUGUCUGGAUGAAAGGGAACAGACCAGAACCAAUUAGCCAUAUCAAUACCUGAAAACACCAUCUGUGAUUUUGGAAUGCCAUCAAAAACACUUCUUGCUGCAGGAGAGAAUGCUCUGCUGGAAAUCAGUUACUAUAUGCUGAAUUCCCUCAACAGUUUUCCUUGAAAGAGGAUACUGUUUAUAAUCAGAGGUGUAUCUGUAAGAUGAUCUGGUUCUGUGUCCACUCACCUGCAGUCCUGUUCAUUCUUCUCAUUCAUGAUCAAAGUCUUGUUCUUUGAAUUCAUGUUUGUACAUAAGCUCACUAUUACCUGAAGUUUUUCCAUUACCUAAAGACUAUUCAGUGCCAUAGGUCAGUAGGUCAGUGUGAAAUUUGACUGGGAGCCAAUGCAGUGUGGAUAAGAUUGGAAUGAUGUGUUCAUAUCUUCUCGAUAUGUUCAUAUCUGCUGCGUUCUGAACUAGUGUCUCUGCAUCAUUUUAUGACUUAAUGAAUUUAGUGAUUAAAUGAAAAUUGAUUAGGUGUAAGCACACACAAUGCUUAAUUAUUAUAAUGAAAACUUUAUUACAGAAACCUAAUUGAGGUGCAGCUACAGCUCAUACAGAAAAAUCUGUAAAAUACUUAUUUAAUCUCAGAGCUGCCUAAGAGACUGAUCAGUAUCUGGUAUAGUUACAGAUCAGCUCUGUGUUUGGAUUAAAGCUGCUUUAAACACCUGCUAAAGCAAUAAAAGCAAAUAUGAGUGAUAAUUCUGUUCAGUGAAUGAUUUAUUUAUAUAUGUAUCUGGAUAUGCUGGAAUUAUUCACAGAUUGCGUGAGAGUGUGUUAGAAACCACAAAAAUAAACACCCACACACAAAAACACUGAGGAACCUGAGGCACAAUGAGAACGUUAAUCCUGCAUGUUCAAAACUCAAUUUCACCAUCAGCUCUCCAUGAAACAUUCGCUUAAGGAUGAAUGGCAUAAUAAUGAUCUCAAGCAGAAAGUUUCGCAUGUGUCACCGGAGCUUUUUGGAGGGAGGUGUUUGGGAACACUGAGUAAACGCCUGCAGGCAGUCUUUGUUUUGAUACAACACUUAACAGCGGUGCAUAGCAGAACCUCCUAAACUCAAACUUUAUAUAAAAUACAUACUGAAUCACAAGAAAUAUUCUUCAUCUCUGAGUAAAUCUGCAAAAACUCCACAGGGAUCAUGUCCCUCCUUUAUAUUUACAUCUUGUUGUUGGCUGCCUGUGUGGAUGGUGAAGAUCCUCUAAUUACUGUAUCAGCUCGAGUGGGUUCCACAGUCAUCCUGCCAUGUAAACUGACUGAAGUGUUCACCCAAACAUCACUUAUUCGGUGGAAAAUGAACAAUGAGCUUGUAAUUGAGCGAAGCAUUAAUGCUACAAGUUCAGGUUCAGGAUAUGAGGGUCGUGUGGAUAUUCCUGUGGAUGAACUGCGUAAAGGAAACUGUUCCCUGGUUUUGAAGGACGUCAGAAUCACUGAAGACCGUUUUUACAAAACGUUUACAGUUGAAAAUGUGGACAGUACUAACCCUACAGAAGUGAAAGAAAUCACCAGGGUUAGACUCUCAGUAUAUGAGCUUGCAACAGAUGUUCAGCACAGGGCACCUGUGGAGCCACUAGAACAGGACAUGGUUCGAAUAGAAAGUGAAGGCUUGUCCCAGCAGAUAGUGUCAGAGGCAAUUCAGAUAUCAGCCCGAGUGGGUUCCACAGCUGUCCUGCCAUGUGAAUGGAGGAAUUUGUCCAUCCAAACACAUCAUGUUGAGUGGUAUGUUGAUUCCGAGAUUGUACUUGAGCGAGACGAUGAAGAGUUAUUUGUGGGUGUAGGAUACAAGGGGCGUUUGGAUGUUCCUAAGGACGAGCUUCUUAAAGGAAACUGUUCCCUGGUUUUGAAGAACGUCAGUGUUACUGAUGCUCUUGUCUACAGAAGUGCCAUGGUACUGCCCGAGACAAAAAAAUCUGUCUUGGUUCAGACGGUUAAACUGUCAGUUGAUGAGAUGAAAGAUGGAACAUCAAAUCAGUCAGGUGAAGCAGGAAUAAAUUGCCCUCGACCGCUGAUCCUCAUCAUUUCCUUCCUCAUGUAUUUACUUUUCUCAAGUUGAGGAAACAUCAGUGUGAUCUGCCUGAGUACAGAGACUUCCCUCAGCCCAAGAGAAUUCCCUAAAUUAUGCUGAAGUGAAUGAACACAUACAUCUAAAAUUCAAGUGAACUUCCUGACCGAACUGGAAAAGGUAAUCAAAAGAAUUUUGAAUACUCCAAAUGAUUUGCCUACAGUGGGCUAACGAAUCUAACAGUGAACACGCCUAACAGGAAGUGAAGCUGACUUUCUGCAUUGACAAAAUGGUAAGAAUCUUCAGGACUGUGACCUGAGGCUAUGCAACAUUUGUUGUUUCUUGUCAGUUACACAGACUGUUCAAAAUGACAUUAUCAUAACCAAAAAGGCUUCCGUCUCACUGCCAUUUUGCUGCUUUUGACACUUUAUUAUAUCAUAAAUCAUAAAAUAAUAAUCCAAAAGCCUGACAUUGAAUAUCACACAAAAUAUAGUCAUUUUGUUUAUUCAUUUUGUUUAAAAGGUUUUCUUCAUGUUUCAGGAAAACUUCAGUCAUGAAGUAGAAAUAUGAACAAUUAACAGACUACAGUAUGUCGUUCUUUCAGCCACUCCCUGUUUGCCUCAGUGGAUCAUCUGGUUCACCUAUUUGACUUGGCACAGGUUUUAUGCCAGAUGCCCUUCCACAUAAUUAUAUCAUUCAUUAGCCCAUUGUCCUCAGCAUCAUUUUUCUCCUCUUAUGUUUACUUUCCUCACACUGAGGGAGUAUUGGUGUGUUCUCUCUGACUACAUCUGGCUUAUAGAGUUAUAGAUUUCAGGGUGUUUCCUGUACAUGGAUUUUUUUUUUUACUAUAACUACAUUUAAGCUACAGUGAAUUCAUGACUGCAUUUAGAUAUUAUUAAACCUUAGAAGCUUUUUCCCCCCUUUCUUUUUUCCUCAGAAAGCCAUUUUCAGAGGCUGAAUGUUUGAUGUUUCAUUGUAUUUAUUUAUUUAUCCAAAUCACUCGGUUGGAGGGUUUUAGUCUGGUGUCUCAUACUAUGCUGCAGGACAGGAAAAUGAUUGGCCAAUAGCAGAUAUAUUUAAAUAUCUGAAAAUCUGUACAUCAUAGAUUUAUACUGAUUAAUAUUCACCGUUCUACUGGAAUAUCUCAGUUUAACUAACACAGUGAUUAUGUACAAUAAAGCUGAGAAAAACACUGACCAAUUAAAACUGAAACCACAUCGUGUAGAUUUUUUUCACUCCUUGAACUUUUCCCUAUUUUGUAGUGUUACAACUUGAAACUAAAAUGAAGUUUUGGAGGCUCUAAUCCGAACAAAUAAAUGAAUUUGUGCUCUAAAGUAGUACUUUUACUGUCCAUUAUUUAAUUGAAAGAUUUAAAGUGUUUAUCCACUGAUUUAUUAAAGAUUUUUUUAUGUGUCUGUACAGUGAAGAUUGCUUUUAUGAAAAAGUGUGUGUAGAGAUGUGACAGAACAUUUCCGGAAAAGUUCUUGAGAUAUUUUGAAGACAGAUAAGCUCAGAGAUAUAAAUCUGUGUCAAGCCAUGCAGAGUUUAAAAACAAAACCUUGCUUAUGAGCUGUACUUCACCUGCACCAGUUGGGACAGGGUUAACUGACAGAAUUGUAUGUAGAAGGAACUACAGUAAUCAGUUAAAAAGACGUACUAAUUUUGUACACAUCCUCAAUGCAGUUCAACUGCUUCUGUUCAGUAUUAGCUUUAGAUCAGUUAUAAUCCAGGUUUGACAAGUUCUACAGGACCUACUUUAACGUCGCAGGUGUCUUUUGAAGCAAAUCCAUGCCCAUCGGCACGCACUCUUAUAGGCUCUUGACCUGCUAAUUUGCGCAACUUGCAGCACCUGCGCAUGCUGUUUCUUAAACCGCAUAGUUUAAGGCUGCAAAAAAGUCUGCAAGUUCUGUCUUAACAUCAAACACAUAAACACAUUAAUAUUAAUCACUUUAGAUAUAGUAUAAGUUAAACCAGUGAAUCAUGCCCAGUGAAAGCAGAGCAAACAUAUCGAUAUAAAUGGGUGCCAUGACCAAACUAAUGGCUGAAAAACCACAGAUUCAACAACAGUUAACCAAAUAAAUGAACCUGCUCAUUGCCAAAAGGUUAAAAAGAAGGGUAAAUAUAUGAAAAUUUAUCUAUUGCAGAACACAGACUCCUCAGAUCGAUUUUUUCUUUUGACUUUUCUACAAGCACAUUCACUUGACAGCGAUGAGUAAAGCCAAUAUUUUGCCAUUCUCACCCCUUGUCCAGCCCCAAUCUCUAUCUGCUCCAGAUACGUGCCUGGCUUCCUGCCCAGGUCGCUCUAGAUGUCCUUUUGGAUAAUGGGCCCAGCUUGGUAAACCCCCCAAACAUCUGGUCUGAGCUUGCCCCUAUAUUCUAUAUUUUAGCAGAUCAAAUAUCUUUCUACAAUAUUACCCUGAUUUCAGGUGAACAGCACAGCCUAUAUGAAAAUCUUUAACUUUCUCCUUUGGCUAGCAGUGUAGCAGCUUUUUCCCACG